rnacentral:rRNA from 1 species
UGGGGAAUAUUGGACAAUGGGCGCAAGCCUGAUCCAGCAAUGCCGCGUGUGUGAAGAAGGCCUGCGGGUUGUAAAGCACUUUCGGUGGGGAGAACGAGGCUGUUAUUAAUACUGACAGCGGAAGAUGUUACCCACAGAAGAAGCACCGGCUAACUCUGUGCCAGCAGCCGCGGUAAUACAGAGGGUGCGAGCGUUAAUCGGAAUUACUGGGCGUAAAGGGUGCGUAGGUGGUUUCGUAAGUUAGGUGUGAAAGUCCUGGGCUUAACCUGGGGAUUGCGCCUGAUACUGCGAAGCUAGAGUACUGUAGAGGAAAGUGGAAUUUCCGGUGUAGCGGUGAAAUGCGUAGAUAUCGGAAGGAACAUCGGUGGCGAAGGCGACUUUCUGGACAGCUACUGACACUGAGGCACGAAAGCAUGGGGAGCAAACAGGAUUAGAUACCCCGGUAGUCC